AGUUGGGCACUCUAAUGAGACUGCCGGUGACAAACCGGAGGAAGGUGGGGAUGACGUCAAGUCCUCAUGGCCCUUAUGGGUAGGGCUUCACACGUCAUACAAUGGUCGGUACAGAGGGUUGCCAAGCCGCGAGGUGGAGCCAAUCCCAGAAAGCCGAUCGUAGUCCGGAUCGUAGUCUGCAACUCGACUACGUGAAGUCGGAAUCGCUAGUAAUCGCGGAUCAGCAUGUCGCGGUGAAUACGUUCCCGGGUCUUGUACACACCGCCCGUCACACCAUGGGAGCGGGUUCUACCAGAAGCAGUUAGCCUAACCGCAAGGAGGGCGAUUGCCACGGUAGGAUUCGUGACUGGGGUGAAGUCGUAACAAGGUAGCCGUAUCGGAAGGUGC
rnacentral:rRNA from 1 species